rnacentral:tRNA from 1 species
CGGGACGUACGACGCGGCCGGCGACUUCGCCUACCGCGUGGGGCUGCCCGGCAAGAGCGGGGUCGGCGGCGGCAUCAUCGCCGUCGUCCCGG